rnacentral:rRNA from 1 species
ACGUUAGCGGCGGACGGGUGAGUAACACGUGGGUAACCUACCUAUAAGACUGGGAUAACUUCGGGAAACCGGAGCUAAUACCGGAUAAUAUUUCGAACCGCAUGGUUCGAUAGUGAAAGAUGGUUUUGCUAUCACUUAUAGAUGGACCCGCGCCGUAUUAGCUAGUUGGUAAGGUAACGGCUUACCAAGGCGACGAUACGUAGCCGACCUGAGAGGGUGAUCGGCCACACUGGAACUGAGACACGGUCCAGACUCCUACGGGGAGGCAGCAGUA